rnacentral:rRNA from 1 species
AUACGUAGGGGGCGAGCGUUGUCCGGAAUGACUGGGCGUAAAGGGCGUGUAGGCGGCCGAUUAAGUCUGGAGUGAAAGUCCUGCUUUCAAGGUGGGAAUUGCUUUGGAGACUGGUUGGCUUGAGUGCGGAAGAGGUAAGUGGAAUUCCCAGUGUAGCGGUGAAAUGCGUAGAUAUCGGGAGGAACACCAGUGGCGAAGGCGGCUUCCUGGCCAAAGACUGACGCUGAGGUGCGAAAGCUGGGGGAGCGAACGGGAUUAGAUACCCCGGUAGUCCCAGCCGUAAACGAUGAAUGCUAGGUGUGGGUAGUGCGAGCUAUCCGUGCCGGAGUUAACGCGCUAAGCAUUCCGCCUGGGGAGUACGAUCGCAAGAUUGAAACUCAAAUGAAUUGGCGGGG